rnacentral:rRNA from 1 species
AAGCUGCGGCAGCGACGCUUAUGCGUUGUUGGUAGGGGAGCGUUCUGUAAGCCUGUGAAGGUGUACUGUGAGGUAUGCUGGAGGUAUCAGAAGUGCGAAUGCUGACAUAAGUAACGAUAAAGCGGGUGAAAAGCCCGCUCGCCGGAAGACCAAGGGUUCCUGUCCAACGUUAAUCGGGGCAGGGUGAGUCGACCCCUAAGGCGAGGCCGAAAGGCGUAGUCGAUGGGAAACAGGUUAAUAUUCCUGUACUUGGUGUUACUGCGAAGGGGGGACGGAGAAGGCUAUGUUGGCCGGGCGACGGUUGUCCCGGUUUAAGCGUGUAGGCNGGUUUUCCAGGCAAAUCCGGAAAAUCAAGGCUGAGGCGUGAUGACGAGGCACUACGGUGCUGAAGCAACAAAUGCCCUGCUUCCAGGAAAAGCCUCUAAGCAUCAGGUAACAUCAAAUCGUACCCCAAACCGACACAGGUGGUCAGGUAGAGAAUACCAAGGCGCUUGAGGAGAACUCGGGUGAAGGAACUAGGCAAAAUGGUGCCGUAACUUCGGGAGAAGGCACGCUGAUAUGUAGGUGAGGUCCCUCGCGGAUGGAGCUGAAAUCAGUCGAAGAUACCAGCUGGCUGCAACUGUUUAUUAAAAACACAGCACUGUGCAAACACGAAAGUGGACGUAUACGGUGUGACGCCUGCCCGGUGCCGGAAGGUUAAUUGAUGGGGUUAGCGCAAGCGAAGCUCUUGAUCGAAGCCCCGGUAAACGGCGGCCGUAACUAUAACGGUCCUAAGGUAGCGAAAUUCCUUGUCGGGUAAGUUCCGACCUGCACGAAUGGCGUAAUGAUGGCCAGGCUGUCUCCACCCGAGACUCAGUGAAAUUGAACUCGCUGUGAAGAUGCAGUGUACCCGCGGCAAGACGGAAAGACCCCGUGAACCUUUACUAUAGCUUGACACUGAACAUUGAGCCUUGAUGUGUAGGAUAGGUGGGAGGCUUUGAAGUGUGGACGCCAGUCUGCAUGGAGCCGACCUUGAAAUACCACCCUUUAAUGUUUGAUGUUCUAACGUUGACCCGUAAUCCGGGUUGCGGACAGUGUCUGGUGGGUAGUUUGACUGGGGCGGUCUCCUCCUAAAGAGUAACGGAGGAGCACGAAGGUUGGCUAAUCCUGGUCGGACAUCAGGAGGUUAGUGCAAUGGCAUAAGCCAGCUUGACUGCGAGCGUGACGGCGCGAGCAGGUGCGAAAGCAGGUCAUAGUGAUCCGGUGGUUCUGAAUGGAAGGGCCAUCGCUCAACGGAUAAAAGGUACUCCGGGGAUAACAGGCUGAUACCGCCCAAGAGUUCAUAUCGACGGCGGUGUUUG